UUCUCCCAGUGUUUUCCCUGUUCCAAUACUCUAGAACCUUUUCUCAAUCACCAGUUGGCCUUUUGAUAUUUCUGCUCUGCUGUCAUAGCACCUGGUGUCUAAAUACUUAGAGUGUGGUUUAUGGAGUAUAACAGCCUGAAUGGAAAACGUCUGGCUUUCAGCAAGUCUUAAAACUAUGAGAUAGAAGUUUAUUGGAUACCCUGCAAGGAAGCAGUGGCGAAGACACCAGAGGAGAGGCUGUCUGCCUUAUUGAGACCAUUCAUAUUCCAUAACGAUAAAGAUGAAAAGUACAAUCUGAAAAAGGAUAGCAUAUCUACAGUGAUAUAUGCCUUUGUCGUUUUAACAAUAUGCCAGGAAGAGAACCUAAAGAAUCUUCUGAUAGAGAUACCUUCAAAGAAAAAGGACACUUUCAAGGAUAAAGAGAGGGACUUUCAAAGGAACUGGCUCAUUAGAUUAUGGAAGCUGAGAAAUUCAAGAUGUACAGGUGACAAACUGAAGACCCAGUAAAGCCAAUGGUAUUGUUACAGUGAAAGUCUGAGUUUGAAGGCAGAAGACAAAUGUUUCAGCUGGAAGAGAGACAGAGAGAAAGAAUUCUUUCUUACACUUUUAUUCCAUUCAGACCUUCAACAGAUUGGAUGAGGCCCACCCACAAUGGGGAGAACUAUCUGCUUUACAUAUGCAAAUUACUUAUACAGAUGGUAAUUACAUAUUCAAAUGGUAACCAUUCAAAUGUUAAUUCAAAUCAUUUAUUCAAAUGUUAAUCUCAUCCAGAAACACACUCACAGUCACACUGAUAGAUAAUGUUUAACCAAAUAUCUGGGUACUCCAUGACCCCAGUGAAGAUGACACAUACAAUUACCAUCACAGCUAUAUUAACAUUAGACUCAUAUAAGCUGAAACACUUUUCUUGUUCUCAUUUUUAGCUUUUAACUGUAGCUACAUUGUCUUUUACCCAAAAAUAAUUAAAUUUUUUUAAUCUAAUAAAAUAUUUCAAUAAUUACUUUAUGACUUUUUUGCUUCCCUUGCUUAAUAAUUUCAUAAAAUUUAACUUUGACUUCAGAUUAGGUCUGCAUAUUCUAUCAAUCCAUUUACAUGCUAAUAAACUGGAGUUAUAAUUUGGAAUUCAUCAAACUGCAUGAACUUUUUUUUUUCCCCUCAUUCCUCAAUCCCUUUAUUUUCUUUUCAUUUUCUUCCUCCAGGCCUAUUAAGGUAAACAUGGAUAUUGUUCAACUCUUUGAACAAUACUUAAAGCUAACCUGGGAUUUAGAUGCAUAAAUUGGGUAUUCAAAAACUAGAGGGCUUUACUCUUACAAAUAAAA